GUGGCUAUGGUGUAACGGCAGCACAGCAAUCUGUGGCAUUGCUAGAGGCGGUUCAAAUCCGCUUAGCCACCCA
rnacentral:tRNA from 1 species